AAUUGUCACCAGUUGCAGGAGUCUUUCCAUCUGGACAACAUCCAAAUGUUGAUUUCUGACAUGUUACAUUUUCACAUCCUCUAAGAUCAAUGCCCUGAGAAGGAGUUUUACCAUCUAGGCAGCAGCCAAACGUGGUUUCUAAGCAAUCGAAAGGCGAUGGGGAGUUUAUAAUGCAUUCUUGUUUAUUUGGAUUGGUGGCAGGAGUCUUGCCAUCUGGACAGCAGCCAAACCUU